rnacentral:rRNA from 2 species
CAGCCGCCGCGGUAAAACCAGCACCUCAAGUGGUCAGGAUGAUUAUUGGGCCUAAAGCAUCCGUAGCCGGCUCUGUAAGUUUUCGGUUAAAUCUGUAUGCUCAACAUACAGGCUGCCGGGAAUACUGCAGAGCUAGGGAGUGGGAGAGGUAGACGGUACUCGGUAGGAAGGGGUAAAAUCCUUUGAUCUAUUGAUGACCACCUGUGGCGAAGGCGGUCUACCAGAACACGUCCGACGGUGAGGGAUGAAAGCUGGGGGAGCAAACCGGAUUAGAUACCCGGGUAGUCCCAGCUGUAAACUAUGCAAACUCAGUGAUGCAUAGGCUCGUGGCCAAUGCAGUGCUGCAGGGAAGCCGUUAAGUUUGCCGCCUGGGAAGUACGUACGCAAGUAUGAAACUUAAAGGAAUUGGCGGGGGAGCAC